AUGGAUGACCCGCGUCGUCGGGUGCGAGGCGAUCCAGCGCCGCCGUAUGGAGAUUUUGAUGGUCUGUUCAGUGUUGAGAUCCACCAUAGUGGUUUCUUUUGUGGCAGUGACAUAAGCAGAACAUACAUGGACUAUGAGGUUGAUUGGUUUGACAAUUGUCAGACUGACACUUGGUCCUUACUCUGGAUUGAUGACUUUCUUCUGCAGCUAGGCUAUGAUAGACAAGCUUCAAAGAUUGAUGUUUACUGGUGUUUACCAAGAAAGACAGUUAGUGAUGGCCUGAAGCUCUUGACCUAUGAUCCCGACAUUGUUCUUAUGAUUUGUGCAACAUUAGAGCACAAGAACCUGCUGCUGAUAGUAGACCAUGGUGAUACCCUGCAGUCAUUAAACAGAGAUGAUGUUCUGACAAAUGGAGUGAAGGAUCCACCUAAGGUUAUUACUCCAAAGAGGCAUGGAAAAGAAAAUGUCAGCUAUCCAGAGAAAGAGCAGAGUCCUAGAGAGAAAAUGUCAAGGACAGGAAGGAGAUCUAUGUCAUUUGGAGAAGGAUGUAGCUCAAGGAAUGCUAUGGAGGAGGAGAAUAUUGAGGAUGUUAACAAUAGUGAAGAAGAGGGAAAUGAUGAGGAUGCAGGGUCAGAAACAGAUGAGGAGUUCUAUGAGAGUGACUAUGAAGUUGCAGAAGGUGAUGAUGAUUUGUUUGAGGCAAAUGUAGACAAAGAUGUUGAUGAUCACAGAGAGAAGAACAUAUUGCCAGACUUUGAAGAAGAACUUCCAGAAGAUGCUUUGGAGGACAGCCACUUAAAUAUGUCGAAAGAAGAGAAAGAGAAGUUGAAGCACAAAUUCAGUACUUUCAACCCAACAACUGAUCUGAAUGCACCUGUGUUUAAGAUUGGGUUGGUGUUUGCAGAUAUGAAGGAAUUGAGGCAUGCUCUCACUGCAUACAGUGUAAGGAAUAGGGUGAAAGUGAACAAGCUCAGAAAUACUUCAGUAUCACUAGAGGCUGUAUGCAAGCCUGGUUGCACUUGGUACUUGAAGGCAGGUAAAGAUAACAGGUCAAGUAGCAUACAGAUCAAGAAGUAUGUUGACAAUCACACUUGCACAAAAGCAUGGGACCUGAGAGUUCUGACUGCUCCUUUUCUUACUAACAAGUUGAGAGAAGAAUUCAGAGACAAUGAAAAAAUGCCUCUGAAGAAAUUUUCAGAUAAGGUGGAGACAGAAUAUAAUUUGGUUCCACACAGGAGUAAGUUGGGAAGAGCUAGGAGAGCUGCAGUGAAUCAAAUAAGGGGAGUAGAUGAUGACCAAUACAAUACUUUGUGGGACUAUGGUCAGGAGCUUAGAAGGAGCAAUCCAGGAAGCCAGUUCUUCUUGUGCACUAAGGAAGUAUUUGAUGAGAAGACAAAGAAGGUACAAGAAUGA
rnacentral:rRNA from 1 species